rnacentral:lncRNA from 1 species
AUCCUAUCCUGCACGUCGCCUGCAGACUGGCUCCAGACACCAAGAAUGGACUGGUGGGAGAUGGGCCUUCCCCCUUAUAAGCACACUCUCUUAGUAAAUUCUUGAGCCUUGAACAGAGAAUCAUCUUGGCUUCAUUAUCUCUCUCGCCAUCUAAGUCUUUUUCAGCCCCAACCUGCCUCCCAGGUGUACCCAGUUCAAGUAGGCCGCGGGCUGACAUACAACAGAUUGCUGUCCGAGACAGGGAUCUUGGGAACGGUGGGAAAACCCGGAGGGAAUCGCAUCUUGUAUGGAGCUCCAAGGGAAUGAAAGAAUCAGAGAAUCUUAUUGGGCUCGCUACCCUAUUGGGGAAAGUGGAAAGCUUAGGUUUCCUCCAGAGAAUGCUGCAGAAGUAUGACAACUGUCAGAAGGAUUCGUGUGACAAGCUGACCUGUGAGUUUGCUGAGCACCCUGACAGUGGUGACAGGAAAGCUGUAUUGAGCACUCAGAGGAGGAGGAAAUCGGAGAGCAGCCACUUGCAAACAAGAUGAAGAAACUUCCUAUCUCUGCCAUGGGCUUCGUCAAGGAGAGCUGACCUGGUGUCAACUUGGGGACAACUAAAAAUGAUGACUUGUGAGGCAAAGGGACUGCUACAGAGUUUUGGACAAGAUUUCAUUAUAGAGACACUGUUUUUGGUCAUUCAGGCCAACUCCCCUAUAGCUGUAAAAAGUUGUGUACCUUACCUGUAUGCUAUAUUGUUAGAUAAUUUUAAGAGUUAAGAUCACAAUCUUAGCAAGUCUUUUCAUAUUCAUUGUAAUUCUUGUCAAAUAAAUAAUUGUGUAGAU